rnacentral:rRNA from 1 species
AAAUUGAAGAGUUUGAUCAUGGCUCAGAUUGAACGCUGGCGGCAGGCCUAACACAUGCAAGUCGAGCGGUAGCACAGAGAGCUUGCUCUCGGGUGACGAGCGGCGGACGGGUGAGUAAUGUCUGGGAAACUGCCUGAUGGAGGGGGAUAACUACUGGAAACGGUAGCUAAUACCGCAUAACGUCGCAAGACCAAAGUGGGGGACCUUCGGGCCUCAUGCCAUCAGAUGUGCCCAGAUGGGAUUAGCUAGUAGGUGGGGUAAUGGCUCACCUAGGCGACGAUCCCUAGCUGGUCUGAGAGGAUGACCAGCCACACUGGAACUGAGACACGGUCCAGACUCCUACGGGAGGCAGCAGUGGGGAAUAUUGCACAAUGGGCGCAAGCCUGAUGCAGCCAUGCCGCGUGUAUGAAGAAGGCCUUCGGGUUGUAAAGUACUUUCAGCGAGGAGGAAGGCGUUAAGGUUAAUAACCUUGGCGAUUGACGUUACUCGCAGAAGAAGCACCGGCUAACUCCGUGCCAGCAGCCGCGGUAAUACGGAGGGUGCAAGCGUUAAUCGGAAUUACUGGGCGUAAAGCGCACGCAGGCGGUCUGUUAAGUCAGAUGUGAAAUCCCCGGGCUCAACCUGGGAACUGCAUUUGAAACUGGCAGGCUUGAGUCUUGUAGAGGGGGGUAGAAUUCCAGGUGUAGCGGUGAAAUGCGUAGAGAUCUGGAGGAAUACCGGUGGCGAAGGCGGCCCCCUGGACAAAGACUGACGCUCAGGUGCGAAAGCGUGGGGAGCAAACAGGAUUAGAUACCCUGGUAGUCCACGCUGUAAACGAUGUCGACUUGGAGGUUGUUCCCUUGAGGAGUGGCUUCCGGAGCUAACGCGUUAAGUCGACCGCCUGGGGAGUACGGCCGCAAGGUUAAAACUCAAAUGAAUUGACGGGGGCCCGCACAAGCGGUGGAGCAUGUGGUUUAAUUCGAUGCAACGCGAAGAACCUUACCUACUCUUGACAUCCAGAGAACUUAGCAGAGAUGCUUUGGUGCCUUCGGGAACUCUGAGACAGGUGCUGCAUGGCUGUCGUCAGCUCGUGUUGUGAAAUGUUGGGUUAAGUCCCGCAACGAGCGCAACCCUUAUCCUUUGUUGCCAGCGAUUCGGUCGGGAACUCAAAGGAGACUGCCAGUGAUAAACUGGAGGAAGGUGGGGAUGACGUCAAGUCAUCAUGGCCCUUACGAGUAGGGCUACACACGUGCUACAAUGGCAUAUACAAAGAGAAGCGACCUCGCGAGAGCAAGCGGACCUCAUAAAGUAUGUCGUAGUCCGGAUUGGAGUCUGCAACUCGACUCCAUGAAGUCGGAAUCGCUAGUAAUCGUAGAUCAGAAUGCUACGGUGAAUACGUUUCCGGGCCUUGUACACACCGCCCGUCACACCAUGGGAGUGGGUUGCAAAAGAAGUAGGUAGCUUAACCUUCGGGAGGGCGCUUACCACUUUGUGAUUCAUGACUGGGGUGAAGUCGUAACAAGGUAACCGUAGGGGAACCUGCGGUUGGAUCACCUCCUUACCUGAAAGAA